GGUUGUGUAGUGUAGCGGUUAUCACAGUAGAUUCUGAUUGGCUGAACAUAAUCUCAGAUUUCUAUUAACCCCGGUUCGAUUCCGGGCACGACCU